ensembl:snRNA U6 U6 spliceosomal RNA
GUGCUCGUGUCAGCAGUACAUAUACCAAAACUGAAAUGUUUCAGAGAAGAUUAGCAUGCCCCUGUGCAGGGAUGGCAUGCAAACCUGUGAGUCGCUCCAUAUAUUU